rnacentral:lncRNA from 1 species
UCGGGGACACGGGGCAACGUCUGGGGCUUCUGUGGUUGUCACGACUAGGGGAGCUCCUGGUGUGGAGUGGGCGGAGGCCAGGGACACUGCUCAGCACCCAGCAGUGCCCAGGACGGCCCCACCCCAGGGAAUGAUCAGCUCUGAGGCCCACCGUGCCGAGGGUCCAGGAUCCAAAGAGCAGGCAGUGAUGUUUUUACCCCUUUCCAAGUUCUGGAUAAUUUUCCCAAACCUGAGGAUGAAACGAGAGAAGGCACAUAAGCUGCCUAGCAAGGUGACUGCACAUGGUGAGGGGUCUCACGUGUCGUCUGCACGCGGUGAGGGUCUCACGUGUCGUCUGCACGCGGUGAGGGUCACACGUGUCGUCUGCACGCGGUGAGGGUCACACGUGUCGUCUGCACGCGGUGAGGGGUCACGCGUCGUCUGCACGCGGUGAGGGGUCAUGCGUGUUGGCUGUUCCCCUUUCCUUUGGCAAAUGUGGACUGAGUGCUGCUGUGCCUUAUGCUCGUGUCGGGGAUACCACAGCUCCAGGGUGUCCCUGACAUGAUGUUCCCGGCCCUGCGCUCUCCAGAGCUGAGACUCACCCCAUGGAGCAGUGGCCACUGGGCCUGUCCCCUCCAGACUGCUCCGCGCAAUACAAAGUGGCAGUGGGUAGCUUCCAAACCCAGGCCAUGAAAAGGAGGUGGCCCAGGGAGGCAGGUGCAGCUGGCAGCCCAGGUGGGCCCCAGCCUCCUGGUCUUAGAGCAGACUCCCAGAUGUCAUGGAGCAGGGGCACCAUCCCUGGUCUGCCCGAGUUCCUUCCUGACUGAGGCUUUCUCAUCGACAAGCAUUGGGGUGGGUGCCUAGUCUGAGUCCUGCAAGGCUUGCCCUUGGAGGACUUCCUGGAAGAGGAGGCCAGAGGACAAAAGGGUUGUGAAGCCCCAGAGCAGAAAGGACUCAGCCCCAAAAUUCCAAGGAGGCCUGUGGGUCACAGGACUGUAAGAG